ensembl:lncRNA
UUAUUAUCCAUCCUCUUACCUUUCAGUUAGCAAGAAAAGUUCAUCUAAGGUAUGAGUAGACAUACCACCAUUGAUUUUGAACAGUUUAUGAAAUAUCGCUCUGUUUUGCCAGCAAUACCAUCUUACAGUCUUAUCUCAAGGGACAGGCAGAGCAUUACAGCAUGCUCAGUGUUUUUUUUUUUUCCUUUCAGAUAUGCCGGGAUCAUUCAAGUCGGCAUGGACUUCAGAAACGGAACUGCUCCAGCGCUCGUGUUUUUCAAGUCUCUGCGCUCUGUCAGAGUAUUUCUCACCGACAAACAGGCGAAUAUAUAAAUAUAUACGGCACUUUCGGGCAACGUGCCCUCUAUAAUCUAUUUCUUAGUUUACAGGGUGUCCUCGGCGUUCACUCUGCGUGCCUGGGGAGCCCCGCUGCCUUUGCCCUUUCCCCGUUGGCGCCGCAGCGCAGCGCGGCCCCGCGGCGGCUCGUCCCUGCCGCGGCUCAAGUGCGCGCCGGGGCGCCCCGGCGCUCUGCGCUCGCUCCUCCUCUCCUCGCUCACUCCUCCUUUCGUUUCACACCUCGGCGGAAAACACAGCUUUUCCUCCCAAGUUCUCCCCCCCCCCCCGGCCGUUCCCCUCUCAUUUAUUAUUUAACUCGGUAAUUGCUUUAUCAACGAUAAGGGGGGGGGGGGGAAGCGCUGACGAGCAGACCUAGUCAAACUAUUGAAAUGUAGCCAGGUAUUAAUGAACCGCCCCUGAUCGCAGUGAACCAAUUUAUUAUCCACACGCACUCAAGGAAUAGUUUGGCUGUAGAGUUUUGAGACCACACUUUGCUCACUCCGUUAGCCCCGGUUUUAGCUAGUUAGCUGCUUUUUGCUCUCACUGCCGAUGUCGAGGGGGCUCACGGUGACCUCUGCCAGCACCGGCUAGGGAAUGGGAGCGCACACACUCUCAUUCGAGUGCGAAUCGCUGUGCCUGCCCGUGACUACGCUUAGAAAGAAUAAGAAAUAUGUAAAAAAGAAAAAAAAGAAAAAAAGAAAUUAAAUAUUAACCUGCCCAAAUAUCUCUGGGUAACAGAUAUUAAGAAUACAAAAAACAGUUAAUGUUGACAGCCACUUUUGCAUUUGAGCAAUUUCGGAAGCGCGGUGUAGCCGCAUUUGCUCCAGCUCACCUGGGACGCUAUUUUUAGGAGAGAGACUGUGUACGGCUACUCCUAAACACCCGCUCAGUUGGAGGUUCCGCACCUUUUCCAAGCUGCCCUCCCCUCUGCCCCGCCGCCCGCGUGGGAAAGAGCUUUUCCCGCAGCCGCGCUUUUCCCCGCGCAGCGCGACCCGCGGAGAGCGCGGCUCCGCGGGCCCUGGGGAACGGCCGCGGCCUCCGAAGUGCUCCAGGCUAGCACUUCAUUUAAUUUUUGAGAGCUUUCAUCAUUUUCUUUCCAGCACACACGAAAACCCUUCGUGCCGCGCCGUGCUCGGCCGAAGUCGGCACCUGUAGCUGCCCUGAAGCAGGCACAAGCUCCCCCGGGGCGCUGCAAGGAGGGAGACAGCGCGUUUCUGCGGGGCGGGGAAGCCCCCCUGUAAUUCACGGCUGCCUCUCUCCUCGCAGCUAUGAGCCACACACCUCUGCCGGCCACGAGGCACGCAAAGUAAUUUCUCUUCCCCG